CCUACGGGUGGCAGCAGUGGGGAAUACUGCACAAUGGGCGCAAGCCUGUUGCAGCCAUGCCGCGUGUGUGAAGAAGGCCUUCGGGUUGUAAAGCACUUUCAGCGGGGAGGAAGGCGGUGAGGUUAAUAACCUCAUCGAUUGACGUUACCCGCAGAAGAAUCACCGGCUAACUCCGUGCCAGCAGCCGCGGUAAUACGGAGGGUGCAAGCGUUAAUCGGAAUUACUGGGCGUAAAGCGCACGCAGGCGGUCUGUCAAGUCGGAUGUGAAAUCCCCGGGCUCAACCUGGGAACUGCAUUCGAAACUGGCAGGCUAGAGUCUUGUCGAGGGGGGUAGAAUUCCAGGUGUAGCGGUGAAAUGCGUAGAGAUCUGGAGAAAUACCGGUGGCGAAGGCGGCCCCCUGGACAAAGACUGACGCUCAGGUGCGAAAGCGUGGGGAGCAAACAGGAUUAGAUACCCCGGUAGUC
rnacentral:rRNA from 1 species